rfam:Tupaia chinensis contig177624, whole genome shotgun sequence.
UUGUUAGUAUAAGUAUGUCCUAUACAAUAUUUGGGGCAUACUUGUACUAAAA